rnacentral:lncRNA from 1 species
UUUGUUUUUUUUUUACUCUCGGGUGGGGGGUGGGGGGGGGGGGGGGGGGGGGUGGGGGGGUGGGGGGGUGGGGGGGGGGGGGGGGGGGGGGGGGGGGGGGUGGGGGUGGGGGGGGGGGGGGGGGGGGGGGGGGGGGAG